GUAAUAAUUUAAUAUUGUCUGACGUUACGGCUAUUGCAAAAGGUUUUGGGGGGCUUCUAUCGGCGGGAGACCGCCGAGAGAGCAACGACGAUACGUGUAAACAGGGUAUACUCUGGGGCCGGAGCCGCCAAAAGCGUUUUGUAAUGAUCCUUCCGCAGGUUCACCUACGGAAA
rnacentral:misc_RNA from 1 species